CCUCCCGAGUGCUUGCACUCAAUUGGAAAGAGGAGUGGCGGACGGGUGAGUAACACGUGGGUAACCUACCCAUCAGAGGGGGAUAACACUUGAAAACAGGUGCUAAUACCGCAUAACAGUUUAUGCCGCAUGGCAUAAGAGUGAAAGGCGCUUUCGGGUGUCGCUGAUGGAUGGACCCGCGGUGCAUUAGCUAGUUGGUGAGGUAACGGCUCACCAAGGCCACGAUGCAUAGCCGACCUGAGAGGGUGAUCGGCCACACUGGGACUGAGACACGGCCCAGACUCCUACGGGAGGCAGCAGUAGGGAAUCUUCGGCAAUGGACGAAAGUCUGACCGAGCAACGCCGCGUGAGUGAAGAAGGUUUUCGGAUCGUAAAACUCUGUUGUUAGAGAAGAACAAGGACGUUAGUAACUGAACGUCCCCUGAC
rnacentral:rRNA from 1 species